UCUACAAACACCAAAGAAGCUGCAACUUGAAAUGGGAAUCCACUAGCUUCCUUGUCCGAUGGAUCGAGUCAAGCAAGUGAGACUAUAGCAAAGAGGCAGGCUCGAAAUCAUCCAAAUUCGCCAUGACUUAAAAUCAGCACUAUGAGUGCCUAAAUCUUCCUAGCAAUGACUUUUGACAGAUUUUGGAGUUCAAAAUGGGGAUGGAUUCAUUGUAUAUACCAUUCAUCUUUAUUCUAAAGAAAGCUUGUUGACAUCAGCACCUGUAAUGCUUGGCUUCUUUAGCGUCUUAUUUUGGCAUAUUCAAAUAAUGAUUGCCUUCAUUCAUAUAGGAAGUUGCCCUUGGAAAUGAAUAUUUCUGUUAAUCAUUCUCUCCUCUUAAUCUUCCUAGAGGCAUACCAUCAGAAAGCUUCCUUGACCAAUUAGAUAUAUCAAGAAAAGAAUAGCAACUGCAAUAGAAAGAGAUUUUUUGCCUGAGACAUAGACUAAUCUUUAACUAAAGGAAAGGAGUCUCACUAACAAACGAGUUGCUUCCUAAGAUGUUAAAGCGAUAGAAAUUCAAUCAAUGCCUUCAGGAAGCCUCUUCCUAGUUAUCUUUCAAACAUUGGAUAAAGCGCAUCAUAAGCCUAAAAGAAAGAAAGCGAAGACUUCUUCAUCCCUUGGUUAUUAAAGAUUGCUAUUCUUUGCAUCUCAAACAAAAAUCUUUGGUCACAUAGCCUAGAGGCUACCGCAAGAAGUCAACUUCGCCUAUGACCUUAAGGAAUAAAAAAUGUUAACCUGGAAUUCAUAGCAAGAACUUGACUUUGCUUGCUAUUCUUUCCUAAAUACGAUUCAUCAUUAACUAGCUAACUCGAUGGGAUGUCAACAAUGGGAAUACCAAAUGCAAGACCCGGACCUUGUUCAUGCAGUGAAGUACCUCUUUCGCUUCAAGAGUUUUCAUAAUGACUAUAAAGAAUGAAUCUCUCUCCUCGUGAAGGCUAUUGGGAUCGAUCCCUUCAACUUGCAUGGAAGGGAGCAAGAGAAAAGAGAAACUAUAGUUGUUAGUAGCUUUUCAACCUCCUCGAGGUAUGGAAGUCAAGCAACCAAUAGCCUUUUUACCUACUAUGCCUUUCAUUAGGUGAGCAAAAAGCAAAUAGCUUUGGCCUAGUCUUCCUUAUUAUUGACAACGUACAAAGGAAGCAUCAUCACUAAAAGACUGUCACUAAACAAAAGCAAUUCUUUUUUACACUCAACCAUGAAACAGAGUGCAACUUGAGUGAGCAAUCAACACUAACCCCUUCUACUGUUGCCUAUGAACAGUUGACAUCGAUCAUUUUGCCCUACUUAACUUUCAGAAAAAAAAAAGAACAAAAAAUUAGAACUAAAAAUAUAAUUCGUUUUAACAACAUUACAAAUAACAUUUGAAAGAAGUCGUGCCCUACCUAUUCUACAAAGAAGAGAUGCCAAAUCGUCCUCCCCUUACCUUAUUUAUCAACCUUCCCUUGCUUCAGUACACAAUGAUUAAUCUCUGGCUAUUGCUUCAACUAGGUAGCCUUGCUAGGCCGAUCCUAAGGUUUCUAUUGCGAAUUUGGACCUAGUAGUGUGACUGUGUGAAUAUCAAACUGGUAGGCUACAUAAUGUAUUGGGCUUGAAACUAACCUCCCCAUCAUCAAAAUGACCUUCGUGAGGCACACCUAAGUGUGCCUCUUGGAGAUCGUGCACCUUUGGGUUCUUCGAGCGCUAGGGGCCUUGCCUGGUGCACCUUGCGCUUCGGGCACGCUUGAGCCAUUUUAGUUUGAUUUGCCAAUACCUAUAUAACCUUUAAUUUUCUUGUAUAUUGCCGAUCUAAGACUUGUUUCAACAAGUGAUAUUUCAAAAUAUCACUAACUUGAGAUGAAUAGGCAAAUGCAAAUAAGUGAGUUGAGAUAAGAGUCUGUGAAGUAUGAGAUGAGUUUACUUGAGCUAAGACCAACCAUUACUAAAAUGUUAGAACUAACCAAUUAGAUAAUUAAACCUUCACCCCUUACAAGCCAUUUGAAUUCUUUGUAAUCUUUAGAUGUAGGAGUCUUGACACAUCCCAAUUACUCGUAUUUCUGCUACAUUCUUAAAUAGUACCCCGUACAAAUGUCCCCCAUCCAAAUACCUCCAAUAUCCCCAGUUAUAUAAUAGAAAUAAAGUGCCCACACUAGAAUUUUGAAGUGAUCAAACUAAAGUUAUACAAAGUUCAAAAGUAAAACACUAGAAAAAUAAUAUAUGUGUGUGUUUUGGUUUAGUUAACCGACCAGCCUUCGAAUUUAAAAACCAUAACCAAACUAGAUUAUCGGCUUUUUGAAAUAUUCAAACCUAAAUGAUUUGGUUAACCUAUUUUGUGGUUCAGUUUUGCAGUUUUCUUUGCUCACCCCUAAUAUAAAGCCUAAUGUAGGCCAGCUAAAAAUAGUCUAUCUAGUUGUGAUCAAUUAUGAGUUUCAGUUCUAUUAAUACUCCAAUAAAUGAUCUUAUGAUUUGUAAGAUUUGGAUCACAACAUGGAUUAAACACUGAGUAUAGUGUUUUAUUUUCCUUAUUUUUUAUUUUAUUUUAUUUU
rnacentral:misc_RNA from 1 species